rnacentral:rRNA from 1 species
GACGAACGCUGGCGGCGUGCUUAACACAUGCAAGUCGAACGGAAAGGCCCUGCUUUUGUGGGGUGCCCGAGUGGCGAACGGGUGAGUAACACGUGAGUAACCUGCCCUUGACUUUGGGAUAACUUCAGGAAACUGGGGCUAAUACCGGAUAGGAGCUCCUGCUGCAUGGUGGGGGUUGGAAAGUUUCGGCGGUUGGGGAUGGACUCGCGGCUUAUCAGCUUGUUGGUGGGGUAGUGGCUUACCAAGGCUUUGACGGGUAGCCGGCAUGAGAGGGUGAACGGCCACAUUGGGACUGAGAUACGGCCCAGACUCCUACGGGAGGCAGCAGUGGGGAAUAUUGCACAAUGGGCGGAAGCCUGAUGCAGCAACGCCGCGUGCGGGAUGACGGCCUUCGGGUUGUAAACCGCUUUCGCCUGUGACGAAGCGUGAGUGACGGUAAUAGGUAAAGAAGCACCGGCUAACUACGUG